ensembl:lncRNA
GUCAAGAUCAGGACUGACACCUCAUUUCUCAGCCAGGUCUCAGAAAAUGGAGAAACCAGGGACAGCCGUUUAUCAUUUGUGAUAAACAGAACCAUUCCAAACAUCCAGUAUGGACAUCAUUGCAUCCUUUGAACCUGUCAACUGCAAAGGAUCCUAACUAGAAACAGGUGCCCAGAAUUGGAAGAAGCCAUGAGUAUUGAAAGUCCAGGACCUUCACUUAGCAGAUGAGGACAACACUCUGGGGAUCUUCCUGACCCAGAGAUCGAAUCCUGGUCUCCUGCAUUGCAAGAUCUUUAACUGUCUGAGCCAUCAGGGAAGCAUUAACAAUGCCGAAGCUGGUAGAUUUACUACUGCCGUGUUCUGUAUGUAAG